GGAAUUUCCUUCUGCACUGCCACCAAGUCAGUCACCUGGAAGCAAAAAGGCACUCGUGUUCUGCCUUGUUACCACCCUGGCCAUACCCCUGAAUAUCUGCAGUACGGCACCAGUUUUGCUGAGGAGAUGGCAGUGAGGAGGAUUUGAGGCUGCAAGACCUUGGGAGUUGGAGAUGCUCAAGAGCAUCCAUGGAGCAGCAGGGUAAGCCCUGGUGCCUCUGUGCAGAUCCCUCUGCCUUGGCUGGGGCAGCGAUGCCGAUGAUACCUUUGCCGGCAGCCUGCAGGACUCCUUUCUCAGUAUCUACCUGGAGUGAGCCUCCUGGAGGUUUCCUCCAAUGAAAGCAUCUCUGUACUGCAGAUUUAUUCUAGAAAGAAGCAGGAAUCAGUCAUGGAGCUGUUCUGCAUGCUGUGAAUACCAAGGGACAGCAACGAGCUGGUUGGUCCUGAGCUGCUGGUUGCUCCAGGUGGAGAUGGCAUUUGGGGCUUGGAAGACACUUCAAAGGAUGCUUUGAAUGCUCGUCUCUGCUGUGUAGAAACAGGUGGAGGAAAGGAAGCAUCUGUCUCUCCAUCACUGUGAAGAACUUGGGGAAGACCCCCAUCAUCUGCUAUCAGCCUGUUGUUAUGAUGGAGCGCGCUUAAGCACUCCGCAGAUUAGCAGGUCUGGUGUGAAGGCACCGGCUCAUUCGCACCGCUGCGCCGGGUGACACCCGCUCGCUGCCGGCACGGACCCGACGUGCGGGUCCCGCUUCGGGGGCCGCGGCCGGGGGGAAGCGGCGGCGCUUCAGAUCGGUGCUGCUCGU